GUCUUCAUGGCUUAGUUGGUUAAAGCGUCGGUCUCAUAUGUAACGUGACCCGCUCUCAGAGUCGGGAUAUCCGAAGGUCGCGAGUUCGACUCUCGCUGAGGACA
rfam:Tuber melanosporum whole genome shotgun sequence assembly, scaffold_108, strain Mel28